rnacentral:rRNA from 1 species
AACGAACGCUGGCGGCAGGCCUAAAACAUGCAAGUCGAACGCCCCGCAAGGGGAGUGGCGCACGGGUGAGUAACGCGUGGGAACGUGCCCUUCACUACGGGACAACGUCGGGAAACUGACGCUAAUACCGUAUAAUGACUCCGGUCCAAAGAUUUAUCGGUGAAGGAGCGGCCCGCGUCUGAUUAGCUAGUUGGUGAGGUAAAGGCUUACCAAGGCUACGAUCAGUAGCAGGUCUGAGAGGAUGAUCUGCCACACUGGGACUGAGACACGGCCCAGACUCCUACGGGAGGCAGCAGUUAGGAAUAUUGGACAAUGGGCGAAAGCCUGAUCCAGCCAUGCCGCGUGUGUGAUGAAGGCCCUAGGGUUGUAAAGCACUUUCGUUGGGGAUGAUAAUGACCGUACCCAAAGAAGAAGCACCGGCUAACUUCGUGCCAGCCGCCGCGGUAA